rnacentral:rRNA from 1 species
GUUAGUGGCGGACGGGUGAGUAACGCGUGAGAAUCUGCCCUCAGGAGGGGGAUAACAGUUGGAAACGACUGCUAAUACCCCAUAUGCCGAGAGGUGAAACGAAUUUUGCCUGGGGAUGAGCUCGCGUCUGAUUAGCUUGUUGGUGGGGUAAAAGCCUACCAAGGCUUCGAUCAGUAGCUGGUCUGAGAGGACGAUCAGCCACACUGGGACUGAGAUACGGCCCAGACUCCUACGGGAGGCAGCAGUGGGGAAUUUUCCGCAAUGGGCGCAAGCCUGACGGAGCAAUCGCCGCGUGAGGGAUGAAGGCCUUUGGGCUGUAAGACCUCUUUUCUCAAGGAAGAAGAUCUGACGGUACUUGAGGAAUAAGCCACGGCUAAUUCCGUGCCAGCAGCCGCGGUAAUACGGGAGUGGCAAGCGUUAUCCGGAAUUAUUGGGCGUAAAGCGUCCGCAGGCGGCCGUUUAAGUCUGUUGUUAAAAUCGUGGAAGCUCAACCUCCAUCACGGCAAUGGAAACUGUUCGGCUUGAGUUAUGGUUAAGGGGCAGAGGGAAUUUCCCGGUGUAGCGGUGAAAUGGCG